UUUUUCUGGAAAGAAAUUUAUUCUGUUGUUCUACACUUUGAUAUAACAUUGAAUCAAAUUCAUUAGUUAUUAAUUCUUUUGUUUUUUUUUUUACAUCAGAACCUUUGAAGUUUGGGACUAAUAAACUGGAAAAGUUUUUGAAAGUAAACUCCUAUUAAUGCGUAGAUAUGGAUCCAUAAAAAACAUAACCAAGAAUUUUAUACACUUUAUUAAAAGAUCCAAAAAUAAAACAAUAACAAUAGAGAAGUAACAUACUAAAAUGAGUAGCAUUAUGCACAGUUCUAAAGCACGUACAAGCACUACAGCAAUAUAACGUGGCCAAAAGAAAAAGAAACUCAAAGCGUACACCCUGUUGUAGCAGUUGAGGGAAUGAACUAUCGUGUUAUGGAACUGGAACACUGCAUUAGCCUACGCCUGGGUCUGAGGACACUUUAACUUCUUACAAUUCCACAGGGCUAACUGUAGUAUUUGUAUAUAUUCUCUAAACUAUACCAUUAAAUUGAUAGCUAAUGUUUCCCUUACUUGGUUUUACCAGAAAUGCCUAUGAAAAGAAUGUACUUCAAGAUCUACUUUACACAGUAUAAAUGCUUUUAUAUAUUGCAAUUCAAAACGGACAAUUUAGGAGAACAUUCUUUGAUUUUACUGAUUGCCUAAAAUACAAUUCUCUAGAAGAAAAGAACCAGCGAUCUGUUGUCAGGUGAUAGAGUAAAGUGUGGGGAGUCUCGGUUCAUUUGAAUGGUUAUAAAUGAAGAUAGAAUUAAAGCAAAGCUAAUUGGAAAGAAAACAACAAAAUCCCAGAAUCCAAUCUGUGAAUGGUCUUAUCAUCCCCUCAUCUGCUAGGAUACAAAAGCCAUGGCAACAAAAUCAUUUGGCUUCCACCACUAUCAAAUAGCAUCUGUGUACAGUAAUAAAGAACUGGAACCUUGUAAUUCGGUGUCAGGUAAUUCUCUCUGUUGUGUGUUUGGAAAAAUAACUUCCUUUUAUUUAAUAGUUGUGUUAUUUUUGCAUGUUUAAAUAGCUCAUUUGAGAGGCAAAUAGAGUUAUUUCUGAUGAUACAGGAUGUCAGUAAAGAUCACUAGCAAAGAUUUUAGAGGUGUUUUGUCAUGAUCAUGCUCAUCCCCAAUGCAAAGGUUUGACCACCUGCGAUUCAUUUCACAUAGUGCAAAGGAUUUUUCUCUCAUAAUCCUGGAAAUGAGAAAGAACUUGGUUAUGGAAAUCAAUUAUGGCAAAGGGAAGCCUUGGCAGCAUGGAGAUUAGAAUUAGCUGGUUAUCUUGUGUUAAAAUCUAGGUUAUUAUAACACCCAUGAAGAAAAGCAACAUCUGAUUUCCUGCCAUAAAGACACUGGGACCAUAUGACACUAUGGCUCCGAUUCAGCAGCCCCGUCUUAACCAACCCCCUGCUGCCAUGUGGGCUAGUUGGGCACUUGCUGACAUGACGAGGAGUUGGAAGCUCCGAGAUGCCAGCAGUGGUGGCCAAAGAGCAGCUCUUGGCAGUGACACCUCAGCCCCAACCCUGCAACAGGGCUUGGGUUUUGCAGAAGAAAUCACAGAACCCCAGCCUGGUUUGGGUUGGAAGGGACCUUAAAGCUCAUCCAGUUCCAACCCCCUGCCACGGGCAGGGACACCUUCCACUAGAGCAGGUUGCUCCAAGCCCCUGUGUCCAACCUGGCCUUGAACACUGCCAGGGAUGGGGCAGCCACAGAAAUGGGUCAAAACAGGCACUUCAGCUCCUCCACAAUCCCCCGGUACUGCAGAGCCCCGGCAGUACCACAACACAGUGGAAAGGGAACCAAGAGGCUGCUUAGCAAAGCUGGGGGACCACGGCUGCGCUUUCCUUUGGUGGCAACUCUACAGGGCUUCUCAACCUUCAAGCAUGAAUCUGGCCCCGAUGCCACCAUCAGCCUCCACCUCCCUGCCCCAACACCCAUCUGGCAGCACCGCCACAUGGUGCUCCCAAACACACACCACUGCUGUUGCACAGCAGAGGAAAGUGGCCCAAGACCAUCCACAGCCACCCCUGUCCAUCCACAGCUCAUCAGCCCCUUCCAAUUUGUGACCUUGCCCCAUAAAGGUAAAAAAUGAAGAAAUAAAUCAGUAAGUUGUCACAUUUCAAACUCCCUCUGGGCUUUAAAACUCUCUGCAGUGACAGUCACCUCUAACAGAUAAACACUUCCACUAGAAACGGGAUUAGGCGCUAGGAAAAAGGCUUGUGUGCCACCACGGUCCUACCAGUCCUAAUAGGAUUCACCCAUCACAACCCAUCAGAAGCACGACCUGGGGUGUGUUUGGGAAUGUAGGCUGAUGAAAAGAGGAAUUCAAAUCUUUGCUAGUGACCUUACUAUUUAAUUAAGCACUGUUUCCCAUUUCUCUGUGCUGCAGGUUGGAGCUGACCUGGUAGCAGUCUGCUGUAUAAUAAGCUAUGGCAAACUACAAAGCUUUUACAACAGCAAAGCAACAUCAUGCUUUCAGAUAAGUUUUAUAGCAAAAAACUCCUCCUUUUCAAAGCCUUAGUAAUACCUAUCUCUUUUACAAACUUUUCCUGUAUUAUUACAGACUUUUUAUAUUCAAAAUAAGUUCCAAGGAUUUCUUUCGUGGACUAUGUACAUAAGUGCAAAAAAGGUGUGUCUCACACAUUCGUACACGAACUGAAUCAGUUUAACUGCAGCAUAUUGGUAUCUUCAACACUGUUACGGGGUCAUUCCACAAUAUUUUGGUUUUCUUAUGUACAGUUUUUGCUAAUAUAAAUUAGUAUUAAAAUAGUUAUAUGCUUAAUUCUUUAGCCCUGAUCGUAACGUAUCGUGCGAGUGCUCAGAUUCUGGAGAGAGGAAGAUUGCAGGCGGAGCUACAGUACUGAAACGGAUUAACUCGGAGUUGCCACCGUGUGAAUGGAGCUGAAAUGAAAGCAAAGACCGGUCCCUAUGUGGUAAAUCCAGGCUGUGGUGGUUUUUGGAAGUGAAAAUACUGUGGAAUAACCCUUGCCACACAACAAUUUCUACAAGCUAUAAAACCUGACUCUAAAUCCAUGUGUUGUAAACUUCUGGACUGAAAGAGUGACCUUCGAGCCACAGAUUCAGCGUUCACAUGGGACUUUGGGAUUUUAAAAAUAUUCAAUCAUCUCUUUCUCUGACAGUAUCGAACUGUACCUUGAACAAGCUCAUACUGUUACACAUCACUUUUCAUUUACAUGUGAAAAUCUCACAAAUAAUGUAUACAAAGGUAGCCAUGUUGUAGUUUUGUUGCCAUAGCAACAACAACUUAAUAUAAUUAGUUAACAAUGAAUCUAUCAUUGUAGGAGUUACAUACAAAGUUAAUUUUGUUCUUAAACUGUAAACUAUACAAACUAGUUAUGGACUGUAUUCUAUACCUUACCAUGCUUCAGUGUGGGUUUAGGAUAGAACUAAAUGGGCUGAAUACAUGUCUUAAAAAUCUUAAACUUUCUCUACCUCUCCUUCAAAAUUAAAUUCAUUAGUUACUAAAGAUAUCAAAAAAAAAAAAAAAAGAGCAAUAACGAAAACCUUAAAAACUAAUGGCAGAGAAAUGAAGAGAGAUGACAUGAAGGAAUGAACGAAUGCAUCGUAGCCUAGUAACAAUGUGGUGUAGCUCUAUUUACAUUUGGAUUAGGCUAUCAACUAUUUUCUUUAAAGUUAUUACAGUCUUUAACAUACAGUAUAUACUCUAAGGCCUUCAACAGGCACAUGGUAAAAUCAGGUCAAUAUCAAACUAAAUCCAUUCAACAGGAAUGGGAAAUUCCAUUUUCCUCAUAAAUUUCACCUUUUUCAAUUUCCAUGUCUGUGAAAUGUACAAGGGAGAAAGCAAAGGAGGACUCCAGUUUCCCAACGGCCGCGACCCGCGUGCCCUAGAGCUGCUCUCCCACCCCAGGGAGGAGAGGACAACGCAGCAGGCACACGCGCCUCCUCCUCCGGCCAGCUGCAUCCACCACACACAUACCCACAUCCAGCGCCGGCCAUCGGCAUCCGGGAGGGCCCCAACGCCGGGAUCUGGGGUGCUUCCGUUGGGGAACACUCCGAGCGUGGUGGGAGACGGCGAGGAUGGGCCGGCAAGAGAGGACCCGGUGCUGCGGAGGGCUCGGGAAGGGGCCUGGCCGGGGACGUGACGGCUUCUACAACGUUGCGAUGCAAAAAUACACAGUCCAAAAAUCAUCAGCUCGAAAUCUCCAACUCAAAAAAACCCCCCAAGGGCUGAUUGUGAAACCAUGUUCCAAAUUACUAAAAGCACUGUAUUUAACAAAAAUAAUCUUAAUAGUUUUAUGAAUCCAUUUUAUUUUAAAUCCCUCUUUUAUUGUCUGCUUAUGUUACAGUUUAGUAGCAGUACUUUGUAUUGAAACUACUAACAACCUUUUCCCGUGAAAAUGAUCCAUCUCAGCUUUCAUUUUCCCUCUGCAUGACCCGUUUUAUCCAAGUUUCAGCAUUUCUUGCAUAUUGUUUGCAUAAGGCUGAGAGAAAUGGACAAAGAGAAAUCACUUUGGAUAAAUAAAAAAUAUAGGUUCAUGGAAAGUGGGAAGCUUAUAAAAAUGUCACUAAAAUUAUAUCGAUUUAAACAAACUUACAUACAUCUCUUGUCAAAUAAAGGAUGAUAUUCAUGCUUUUAUGACAUUUGUUUAGAGUCAC
ensembl:lncRNA